rnacentral:rRNA from 1 species
UACGGGAGGCAGCAGUGGGGAAUAUUGCACAAUGGGCGAAAGCCUGAUGCAGCUAUGCCGCGUGUAUGAAGAAGGCCUUAGGGUUGUAAAGUACUUUCAUCGGGGAGGAAAAAACAAAACUAAUAAUUUUAUUUCUUGACGUUACCCGAAAAAGAAGCACCGGCUAACUCCGUGCCAGCAGCCGCGGUAAUACGGAGGGUGCUAGCGUUAAUCAGAAUUACUGGGCGUAAAGAGCACGUAGGUGGUUUUUUUAAAGUCAGAUGUGAAAUCCCUGGGCUUAACCUAGGAACUGCAUUUUGAAACUGAAAUACUAGAGUAUCGUAGAGGGAGGUAGAAUUCUAGGUGUAGCGGUGAAAUGCGUAGAUAUCUGGAGGAAUACCUGUGGCGAAAGCGGCCUCCUAAACGAAUACUGACACUGAGGGUGCGAAAGCGUGGGGAGCGAAACAGGGAUUUAGAUACC